GGUACCGUCAGGCUUCCACCCUAUUUGAAUGAAAACCGUUCUUCCCUCCCGACAGAGGUUUACGACCCGAGGGCCUUCAUCCCUCACGCGGCGUUGCUGCGUCAGGCUUUCGCCCAUUGCGCAAAAUUCCCGA
rnacentral:rRNA from 1 species